AUUGAACGCUGGCGGCAGGCCUAACACAUGCAAGUCGAACGGUAACAGGAAGAAGCUUGCUUCUUUGCUGACGAGUGGCGGACGGGUGAGUAAUGUCUGGGAAACUGCCUGAUGGAGGGGGAUAACUACUGGAAACGGUAGCUAAUACCGCAUAACGUCGCAAGACCAAAGAGGGGGACCUUCGGGCCUCUUGCCAUCGGAUGUGCCCAGAUGGGAUUAGCUAGUAGGUGGGGUAACGGCUCACCUAGGCGACGAUCCCUAGCUGGUCUGAGAGGAUGACCAGCCACACUGGAACUGAGACACGGUCCAGACUCCUACGGGAGGCAGCAGUGGGGAAUAUUGUACAAUGGGCGCAAGCCUGAUGCAGCCAUGCCGCGUGUAUGAAGAAGGCCUUCGGGUUGUAAAGUACUUUCAGCGGGGAGGAAGGGAGUAAAGUUAAUACCUUUGCUCAUUGACGUUACCCGCAGAAGAAGCACCGGCUAACUCCGUG
rnacentral:rRNA from 1 species